AUAGCGAUUCAGCAUGAAAAAUUAGGUCUGAGUUUCAACUUUACCCUUCUCAUUUCUUUCUCACAUCUGAAGCAUCUUCUUUUUUUUUUUUUCAUUCUUCUUCCCAUUUCCUUCCAACCUUCUCCCUCCUUUUCAUGCUUCUAUCCUGACCAACCCUUUGACAAUCCCUAACAACCCUCAACAAGGCCUUCAAUUACGAAUCGUAUGAGGUGGAAACUUGAGAAGAGAAUCAAUCGAAUUGGUUCGAUGUGAGCAGUCGUCCCUUAGGUUUUGGUUUUUAGCUUAUUUGUUCCUUGAAGUGGAAACAAGCAAGAUAUUUGGUUAUUUAUGGGUUGCAGGGUUAUGGCCCAGGUCUCUCCCUCACUGGAAGUGCUAUUACUCUCACAUUGCUAUUGGUUUCCUAGGGUUUUUGUUUGUUUUUUAAGGAUAAAUCAGUGAAGUUAAUCUCAUGUUGAAGAUCUUCAAGAAGAAAACAUCUCCCAAAGAUGCUUUGCGGAAGAGCAAGUGAGAAAUGGCAGUUACAACACGAGUUAUGUGUUUUUUUUUUUAAAAAAAUUCUAUAUCUAUUUCACAUAAAAUCUUUGUUGCUGGAGCUUUUUCAUUUCUCCUAACUUAUACGAAUCUGACAUCUAUGUUCUGAAACAUAUUUGAUUUGAAUGAGUGAUUAUGAUUCUCGAAAUGUAAGGAAAAAUGCUUACCUGAAAGUUGAAUUCUUAGAUUCUGGAUUGAAGUUUGUUCAUUCUUCCGUUGGAGCUGAAGUUUUAUGUGGAAUCAUAAUAUGCUUUGUACCCUUUUACUUCUACUUCUUGUUUUAACCCCUUUCUUGCAUGUGAUCUUUGCUGAGACAGUUGAUUUAGAAAAAAAAAAGAGAGUGCAAGGAAUUUGGCCAUUUGUGUUUUGGAAUUAAGCUUAAUUGACUGAACUUGCUAUUUUAAACAACCACUUCCUUUCGUGAUAUAUAUACUGUGUGUUGGAAUUUUCUUACGUCUUCUUCUUCUCUUGUAGAAUUCUCUGUCAUUCGUGUAAUUAAAUGUUAUUCAUGGAGAACUUGCAACUCGUUUUUAGCACAUUAGCUCUGCUCUGAUUUGUUCAGUUGCUAUAGUAGUCUGGGAGUGAUUAUGCUCAGGCCAUGUUGCUUUGGCUUUUAAUUUUCCAAUAGCAUAGCUAUUUAUUAGUGUUAGAGAUGUAAUCUUUAUCGCUAUUGCCUUUCCUAAAAGUGAAUUAGAGAUUGGAGUAAGAAAUUGAUGAAUAGUAAUGAGAAGAGGGAUAAAAUACAAAUGCAUCUAUGUUACUUGUACUCAAAUACGAGUGUUUGUUACGAGUAUGUAUGGAUUUUUUUAAAGUUUUUUCAUGUAUUUGGAGGAUCCUUAAAGGUCGUAUCUUCUCUCUAUUUGUCAAACAUGAGUGUUAGACACAAGUAAUUCAAGAAAAGUAAUGAGUCCUAGCAACAUAAUAAAUGCAUAGCAUUUGCAGAGUCCAGUUUAUUAGUUUACCCACAUGCAAUACUCACCCAAAUUCGUGUAACAUAGGACCCGACUGUUGAAAACUAUUGUGAUGAUGUUUAUUAGUUCCACAUGCGAUACUCAUGCUGAAAACUAUGAACUCAACUGAGAUAUUCUCACCUUAAUUACACUGUUGUGAUGAUGGCAUCAUUAUUGGUAGCUUUAUAUUUUUGAUCUUGCUGAUCGGACAAUACUUUGGAUCUUUACAAGCAACAAGCACAGGAAUCGGAAAUAUUAACCAUUGAUGUGAAGCCAAGGUGGAAGAAAGGAACAAAGCUUACUUUCCUAGAUAAAGGAAAUGAGCAGCCAAAUCAACUUCCAGCAGACCUUGUAUUUGUAAUCUAACUACUCUUGAUGGCGGUGGUGGUGAUAACACCAUUUUUUAAUUAACUUUAGGUAUCCUAUCUUUGUACAGUUUUUGUACAGAUGAGCUAGAUGUAUGAAAAGAACCAUAUAUACAUGGUGGGCAGUUGAAACCUCAUCCAAUCAAUGCUGUUGUAUGUGAACUUAAUUGGCUUUUGCAAUGAAGAAAACCAUGAAUGUAUGGUAGUGUUGGAUCUGAAAGUGAAAAUGCUUUGACA